UUUCCGUAGGUGAACCUGCGGAAGGAUCAUUAAAAAAUGGACUCUUUAUGAAGUCAUUAAUAAUCCUACCCUUUGUGAAUUUGUUGUUUGAAAUAAUUUUUUCCAAAAAAAAUUAUUGAAUGUCUUUCCCUGUUUUGAUGGAGCUGUAAUAGCAAAUCAAUCAGGGGAGUGGCAAGCAUAAUUAUUUUUGAAAAAGACCUUUUUUUAAAUUAAACUUUUUGUAUUCAUUUGUCUAAAAUUAUUUUUAUAAUAUAAAAACAACUUUUGACAAUGGAUCUCUUGGUUCUCGCAACGAUGAAGAACGCAGCAAAAUGCGAUAAGUAGUGUGAAUUGCAGAAUACGUGAAUCAUCGAAUCUUCGAACGCAUAUUGCACUUUUUUAGUUUACUAAAAAAGUAUGUCUGUUUGAGUAUCAGUAAAAUAUUCUCAUAAAAACUAUUGUUUUUUAUGGUUAUGAGUGUUUUACAACGAUAAACAAGUUGUUUCACUUUAAAUUCUUUGUCUUGUAAAAAAUCAUUAAAACUAAUUUUAGAUUUUAAAAUUGGAUAAAAUUUUCCCGUAAAAAGGAAUAACCUAAACAAUUUUAAAAAUUAAUUGUUUGAUUUUUUCUUGAUAUAAAAGGAAAAAAGUAUAAAUUAACUUGAUCUCAAAUCAGAUAAGAGUACCCGCUGAACUUAAGCAUAUCAAUAAGCGGAGGAAAAGAAACUAACUAGGAUUCCCUCAGUAACGGCGAGUGAAGCGGGAAGAGCUCAAAUUUGAAAUCUUCAAGGUUUUACCUUGACGAAUUGUAGUUUAAAGAAGUGUUUUCUGUUGGAAGUUUUGGUAAAAGUUCUUUGGAAAUAGACAUCAAAGAGGGUGAGAAUCCCGUAUUUGACCAUUAUUUCCAGCUUUGUGAUACACUUUCAAAGAGUCGGAUUGUUUGGGAAUGCAGUCCAAAAUGGGUGGUAAAUUUAUCUAAAGCUAAAUAUUGGCGAGAGACCGAUAGCGAACAAGUACCGUGAGGGAAAGAUGAAAAGAACUUUGAAAAGAGAGUUAAACAGUACGUGAAAUUGUCAAAAGGGAAGCGUUUGACACCAGUGUUGUUUUCUCGAAAAUCAAUUAAAAAAGAUUGGAUUUUGUGUUGUAUUGACUUAUCAGCUUUCUGCACUCUUUUCUUGUCUUUUUUAAUGCACUUUUCGUUUAACAAGUCAACAUCAAUUUCUUUUGUUGUAAAAGAGUCAUUGGAAGGUGGCUUUCUUUUCGGAGAAAGUGUUUAUAGCCUUUGGCUUCUGCAAUCGGAGAGAUUGAGGUCUGCAGCGUAGAUCCUUCGGGUUAGAUACAUUUGUGCUAAGUUAUAGCCUUUCAUAGACAACUUGUUGACUAUGAUCAGUCAUGUAGCUUACUCGCUUAUGCUAUUU
rnacentral:misc_RNA from 1 species